UUGCGUAAGCAUACAUGUCUGUGCCGUCUUUUGACGAUGGCAGGAUAAUUAUUGACCUGAGGAAUAAUAUGGAUUUAUGUGGUUGUGAAAAUAGACUUUGUGUUUGUGAGUGUGAAAAUGUUAGUGUGUGUGUGCCUGUGUGUGUGCGCGCGCGCACGCGCUGGGACCCCACUUGACAAGUAAGUGUUUGCCUUUUCGUGUGCCACGAGUGAUACAUUUAUGUACUAUUGCGUGAAAUAGUGGUUUAAAAAAUAAGGGCAGUCGCGUUUGCAUUGCUAUCUGUAGGAUAGGACGAGCGUUUUUGAUGGAAUUGCCUCGCGAACCUGGCGAAGUCUUUGUUUUGGGCAGGGUAUUUUAUGAGUGCCCGACGCCGGUCCUGCUGUUGUUUGUUUGUUUGUUAGUAUGUAUCUGUCACGUUCGUAGCGCUGUUCAAGCGCUAGCCGCGUAGCGGUACGCGGUGAUUCUCCGAUUAUUCCUGAGCGGUACCGACUUAAGCCUUUUCCCUGCUCACUUAAGGAAAUUUGUGUAUCCCUGUCCUAUGACACAAAUGCGUGUAAUUUCAAUGCAAGUGACUAUUUAGCAUUAUGCAAUAGUUAUCUGAUAGCAGAAAUUGGUGUCUUUGUCACAGUUUAUUAGCGUGUGUGUGUCGAUAUUUUAUUUUAUUUUAUUUUUUUCUCUUAUUGCUAUGCGAGCAAAAGCGCGUGUAAUUUUUCGCUGCUCUUUUCUUAUUUUCUCUACUUUUAUGUAGAAGAAAGCCUCCAGCGUAAAAGCUGAAUAGUGUUCUAUCAGUGGAAGUGGGGUUGUUUGUUUGAUUUUGUUGGGUGUUCGAUAUCUUGAUGAAGUAAGCAGUGCUUAAUUUUGCAGGUUUUUGAGCAGAAAUGCUGGUAUCUGAGCACGGAGUAGAAAUUGCUAUAUUUCUCUGCUCCCUAAGAAACUCUGUACGUCGUUUUCCAAGCAGACCGCGUUUAGUUUACGCGAAAUGAACUUAUGUAUGCUCUAUGAUGAUCCGCCGCAGGCUUAGCCCUUUUCCCCGAUCACCAGUGUUUUGGCAUUCGAUGUCGCAUGUCUAGACUUGUUCAGUAGUGUCUUUCUUGCUGCAAUUUUUACCCUUCGCUGAUAUCUUGUUGCUGUCAUGUUGUGCUAGCCGCGUAGCGAUAAGCGGUGAUUCUCCGAUUAUUCCUAGGCGGUACGGCUUAAGCCUUUUCCCUGCUCACUGAAGGAAAUUUGUGUAUCCCUGUCCUGUGCUUUCUUUACGCAAGGGUAAUGCGUCUGUGUAUGUGGCACUAUCAUAUAGCAGACAUGAGUGUCUUUUUGUUGGUUUAUUGGCAUAUGCUUCAGGUUUUUUAAGUCAAGCAAAAGUGCGUGUAAUAUUUCGCUGCUCUUUUUCUUAUUUUCUCUACUUUUAUGUAGAAGAAAGCCUCCUGCGUAAAAGCUGAAUAGUGUUCUACCAGUGGAAGUGGGGUUGUUUGUUUGAUUUUGUUGGGUGUUCGAUAUCUUGACGAAGUAAGCAGUGCUUAAUUUUGCAGGUUUUUGAGCAGAAAUGCUGGUAUCUGAGCACGGAGUAGAAAUUUCUAUAUUUCUCUGCUCCUUAAGAAAAUUUGUACGUCGUUUUCCAAGCAGACCGCGUUUAGUUUACGCGAAGUAGAAAAAUGAAGUUGUGUAUGCUCUAUGAUGAUCCGCCGCGGGCUUAGGCCUUUUCCCCGAUGAGCAGUGUUUUGUAUGCGAUGUCGCAUGUCUGGACUUGUUCAGUGUUGCAAUUUUUACCCUUCGUUAAUAUCUUGUUGUUGUUGUCGUCUUGUGUUAGACGUUGAGCUUCGUAGCGAUGUGCGGUAACGCUACGAUUAUUCCUGAGCGCUCCGUGUGUUUAAUGCGUUGUCCUCUUUGCGUGCAUGCGUGUGCUUUUUUUUCUCCUGAUUUGUGACGUCCUCGUGGCAUGUCUGGACUUGUUUAGCAGUGUUGCAGUUCUUCCCGCUGCUAGUAUCUUGUUGGUGUCAUGUUGUGCUAGCCGCGUGGCGAUGUGUGGUGACCUGAGGUCUUAAGCCUUUUCCCUGCUCACCUAAGGAAAUUUGUGUAUCCCUGUCCUGUGCUUUCUUUACGCAAGGGUAAUGCGACUGUGUAUGUGGCAUUAUGCAAGAAUUAUCUGGUGGCAGAAAUAGGUGUAUUUUUCUCAGUGUAUUGGCGUGCGCUACGGUUUCUUGCAGUUACAGCUAUUGGAGCACACAUACGUGUAGUUUUUCGCGGUUCUUUUCUCCUUUCACGGCUUUUACUCAGAAUGUAGAUGAGGGGAAACAGUCAGCAUCCAGGUAGAGCAGGAGAAAGCCGCUCGGCAGAGGAGAGAGUUCAUGAGAAUGGAAUUUGUUUGUUUUUUGUUAUAUGUUGAGUGUUAGUAUUCGCUUUCCUCGAUAUGUUGAGGAAGUCAGCCGUUAUAGGUAUUUGUGCAGAAAUGCUGGUAUCUGAGUGUGUGGAGUAGAAAUUCCUAUAAAGCACCUCUCCUUGUGCAUUCCUGAGCUGCUGUGUGCGCGCGCGUGCUUCUUUUUCCUGGAUUGCGACGUCAUGAUGGCAUGUUGGGGCUUGUUUAGCAGUGUUGCAAUUUUACCCGCCGCUAUUAUCUUGUUAUCUUGUGUUAGCCGCGUAGCGAUGUCCAGUGACUCUGCUAUUAUUCCUGAGGUCUUAAGCCUUUUCCCUGCUCACCUAAGGAAAUUUGUGUAUCCCUGUCCUGUGCUUUCUUUGCGACAAUGCGUCUGUGUAUGUGGCACUAUCAGAUACCAGACAUGAGUGUCUUUUUCUUGGUUUAUUGGCAUAUGCUUCAGUUUUUUUUAAAGUCAAGCACAAGUGCGCGCAAUUUUUCGCUGCUCUCUUCCUCAGAUCACCGAUUUUACGAAGAAGACAGUCGCAUGGUACAGCUGAGAAGAGGGUUUCUCUGAUUGAUCUCUUGUUUGAUUUUGUUGGGUGUUCGAUAUGUUGAGGAAGUCAGCUGUUAAAGGUAUCCGUGAAGAAAUGCUUGCACCUGAGCGCAAGAUAGGAAUUCCUGAAGCACGACACCCUCAGUGUAAAUUAAUUAUGUUGGAUAUGAGUCUGCUUCCCUGCAUGACAAGGCUGAAAUGGGAAGAGAGAAAAAAUUGGAGCGCUUCAUUAGUAGCGAUCCAAGUAAUAGGGCAAUUAUAGUUUUCAUAGAAAGUUGGGUUCCUAAAAUUAUAGUUUAGUUGUAGUUUUUCUAAACUGCAAUGCAAUAAUCAUUAAUAUAGUAUAGGAAUGCUAUCGUGUUCCCGUAAAGGCGUUCUGUCUUGUGCUUUGGAAUGCGCGAAUAGAACUUUGCUCGCAGCCUUUCCCGCCUUUAUGCUCGCAAUGCACGAAUGGAACUUUGCCCACCCGGCUUCCGCGCCUUUUUUGCUCGCAGGUGUAGCCUCAGACAACGAAUGUAUGAGCAUAGAAAGGGUCACGUAUUACAUAAGCCUGGAGGUGAUGUUGAGUGGUCUCACUUAUUAUUUUAAAAGAGCAGUGGCAGUUUACUGUAAUUCUAAUGACCAUGAUGAGCCUUUGGGGUGAAAAUCGUUAAUAUGCGGGGUGCUUUUUUGUUGAAUUUUAAUGAGAGAAUCAAUGUCAUUAAGAGUAGGACAAAGGAAAUAAUCUUGCGAUUCAAUAAUUAAUAGGAGUCUUUGCCGCUGUCUUCUUCUUCAGACAGGAUGUGAUGACGUCACGCAGUCUGUAGCAAUGCAUUGACCGUCACUGGAAAAAAGUGUGGCAAUAGAAAAAUAGUGUGUAUUGCCCUGGACGGAUUUAUGAUGUGCACUGUUUUUGAACAAGAGGAGUGCGUGUGCUUGGAAAUAGUUUGAUGCUGGUUUCCUUCUUUGUUUCUUUUCGCUUUUUCCCCCUUGUUGUCUGACAAACAUGCGCUGACAUGCCUGGGCUUGUUCUGACAUGCUUUCCUUCUACAUGUAGUUUUUUUCUUUUUGUACAAGGCAUAUUCUUGACGAUAGUGCUGCCUUGAAUGGGAGUAGAGCUAUUCUUAAUAAUUUUGCGAUUCAUUUAGUUCAGAGAGUAACCGCGAGGGGGACAGGUGUGUGACUUUAUGUCUUGCUGAACCAUUUUUUUUUUUCCUGUACAUUAAGACUUUGGGAAUGAAAUGCUGCAAUCUCCUCUUGUCUAUGGUGCUCUUCUGCAAUAGUUUCCUACGCAAUCGUUAUAGAAGAAUAAAUGAAAUAAUCUUGGGAUAGUGAUUCAAUAAAUAACAGGUGCCCUGUCUAGAGCGUACGCGUCCUUGAGCCACGCACCUGCAUGAUGACCGCAUACCGAGAGACUAUUGUUUCAGGUUGACCUUGUCUAGAGGAGCAUUAGUGGAAAAAAACUGUGUAGCCCUGAGACAAUAGGAUGACGUUACGACCAAUGAGAACGGCCUGCAGGGGGCGCAAGGAUUCACUUCUCUCUUGGACACUGACGGGUCUCGACACGCAAAUUCUGCUCCUGGCGUUGGCCGUCAGUGGAAGAGCGUAGCUUCGGUGGGGUUCUGUCUGCCUCUGAUGGGGUGCGGAUGUGUGGUUCGUCACUGGUGAAUGGUGUUCGACGAUGCAGGUGGAUUUUGUGACGAGCGGAUUUACAAUGAGGGAAUGCUGUGAACGGGAAAAAUGAUGCCUCUCGCAGGUGGCGGUAGGAGCGCGCAGAGGGCGCUACGAGCGCGCGCAUGCGUAGCACCCGUAGAGUGGCGCUUACGUCAGUCCACCUCUGGCUCUCGUUUGGAGAAGACGUGCGGUCGUUCGCUCCGUCGUCACUUGAUCCCUGGCUGUCGACGAGAGCAGUCGCAUCGGUCUGCGCUCCUGCUGUGGUGAGGUGAUUUGUUGCGUAACUAAUGCUUUCGUCAACUUUGUUCCCGCUUUGUUUGUGAUUUUCGUGCCAGUGCUGGUUGCUGUUGUCCGGGCAUUCCCGCCAUUUUCUAUCAUCUUCUGCCUUGGGACCGGGAGUAGCGCUGGCGUGAUUCUUAAUAAUUUUGUUGUGAGAUUAGUUGAGAAAGUAACCGCUAGGGGGUGCAGCUGCGGGGCUUUAUACAGCAGAAAAACCAUUACGAGUCAGUUCUCUGCCUGCCUCUCGGAUGGAGCAGUCGCAUCGUUCUGCGCUCCUGUUGUGGUGGGAUCAUUUGUUGUGUAACUAAUCGUUUUUUCUUGUUAGCUAUUGAUGGUUUGCAUACUCUUGCUUUCCCAGACUCUGUAUUACGAGUGUUUUUCUCCUUGCAUGUCCAGAGCUCUCCUAACCUGCCCAGACAUGCCAUGAUGACGUCACAGGAUGUGCGGAACUGGUGCUGCGAUGCUUUGCAACCUGCCUCAGUGCUCCGUCGCCCAGCGGCCUUUCCGGGCCGCUUUCUUCAAGACGAUGUCGUUGAUCUUCAAUUAAACUGCUUCUCUCCAGUC